CCUACGGGAGGCAGCAGUGAGGAAUAUUGGUCAAUGGACGAGAGUCUGAACCAGCCAAGUAGCGUGAAGGAUGACUGCCCUAUGGGUUGUAAACUUCUUUUAUAUGGGAAUAAAAUGUUCCACGUGUGGGAUUUUGUAUGUACCAUAUGAAUAAGGAUCGGCUAACUCCGUGCCAGCAGCCGCGGUAAUACGGAGGAACCGAGCGUUAUCCGGAUUUAUUGGGUUUAAAGGGAGCGUAGGUGGAUUGUUAAGGCAGUUGUGAAAGUUUGCGGCUAAACCGUAAAAUUGCAGUUGAAACUGGCAGUCUUGAGUACAGUAGAGGUGGGCGGAAUUCGUGGUGUAGCGGUGAAAUGCUUAGAUAUCACGAAGAACUCCGAUUGCGAAGGCAGUUCACUGGACUGCAACUGACACUGAGGCUCGAAAGUGUGGGUAUCAAACAGGAUUAGAUACCCGUGUAGUC
rnacentral:rRNA from 1 species